rnacentral:snRNA from 1 species
UCAAGCACAAUAUCUGUUCUUAUCAGCGUAAUACCUGAUAUGUUCUCUUUUGGAGAUCUUUGUAUUAAAUGGAUUUUUGGAACAAGGAGCUGGAAUAGGAGCUUGCUUCAUCCACUCCAUGCAUCAACCUGGUAUUGCAGUGCUUCCAGGUAUAAAAGC